rnacentral:misc_RNA from 1 species
AUUGAAGUCAACGGAGCCCCUGGAACUCUCUAUGCUAAUGAAACCUACCAGCUUCAGGUGGACUUUCCUGAGCAUUACCCAAUGGAAGCCCCGCAGGUUAUAUUUCUGCAUCCAGCUCCUCUGCAUCCUCAUAUCUAUAGCAAUGGUCACAUUUGUCUAGAUAUUUUGUAUGAUUCGUGGUCGCCUGCGAUGACCGUAAGUUCUAUCUGUAUCAGCAUUCUCUCCAUGCUGUCGAGCUCCACAGCAAAGCAACGCCCUGACGAUAACGAUCGUUAUGUAAAGAAUUGUAGGAAUGGAAGAUCUCCAAAAGAGACAAGGUGGUGGUUCCACGAUGACAAGGUGUAACCCAAGAUCUUCCAUUGUUAUAUGCCUGUGGCUUCCCUUGUCUGUAAGGUGAAAGAAGUAGAAAAUGAUUAUGGAAAAGGAAAAAACCAAGUAAAGUGGUAAGGCCUGGCAUUUGUAAAGGAAGAUGAGUUUCUGCUUUUUACCAAUGUCUAAAGAACAACUUCUCUUGUCCUUGGGGGUGGGUUAUCCUUUUUGGGUGAGAACCUCUUGUUACAAAUUCAUAAAUCAUCAGUAAUGCCUCCUUCCUUUCACAUCAUAAUGGGUCUUUAUAGUUCCAGUGAAUAUUAUGAAUUUUUUAAAUAAAG